CUAAAUCAAUAUUGACUACGAUGGUUUCAACUCUUCCCAUGGGACACAAUUUAAUUCUUUUGGGGGAUAAAUUUUUCCUCUAAAGCAAGAGUUAUAGAUCAUCUAUCAAAUCAUUACAAACUAAGGUAGUGUCAACUCUAACCCAUGGGACAUAACUUGUUCCUUUGGAGGCUAAGUCUUGCCUCUAGAAAAAAGAGUUAUAAAGAAUGUGUGUCAUAACCUAUUUUUACUUAAAGUUAAAACAAGUAUAACAUUAUGGACUCAAAAAGAAUAAUUUUUAUACAGAGUCGCCACCUUAUUUUUAAGAAAAAAUAGGAAACCUACUUAUUUAUUAACAAGUAUAAUUUUUAUUUCAAUCUGCGAACCAAUUUAAAUUCUAGGUAAGGGUUUAAAUUAUUCCGAAAGAAAGGAAUUAGGCACCCUUCAGAAUCCACAAUGUGGUUUUCAGCCAGACUUAGGUUUAUUAAAAGAAAAAAGAGAAAAAAAAAAUCAAUGACUAUAAAGACAAAUAUAAAAUAGGUAUUGAAAUAAUAUAAUGCGUAUGCUUUCGUAAAAAAUACAUAUAAAUAAAAGUAUACAAAUAUAUGUAUGUAAAGACAAGAUUGAAUAAAAAAGAAUUGUUUUAAGGAAAAGACUACGUAAUAUUUAUUAAUAUAAAAGAAAGUGUGGAUUAUUUAAUUAAAUAUCUAAAUAGAUUUUAAUAUAAAUAUUAACGGUCUAAAUUUGCCUAGCGCGUGAUGAGAAUCACGUAAAAUAAAAAAUAUCCUGCCCAACACCCCAAAAGUUAAGUUUUCACUAUGAUUAAUAUUUGUACAAGUAUAAAAAAUAUAAAAAUACAACAUAAUUUAAAGUCUUCUUUAAAUGUCUUUCCCGACGAAUAUUCCAAAAACCUAUAUAAGCACUCAUAACAAAAAUGUCAGUAACAAAUAAAUAAUUAUCAAAAUAAAUUUAAAAGGAUAAAUAAUUAUCAAAAUAAAUUUAAAAGAUAUGUGUGCAUAUAGGUAUUUAAAAAUAUAAUUUUUGCUAAAAGUGGGUUCGGAUUAAAUUUUAAAUGCGUCAUGACUACGAAGUGGUUGCUCAAUUUAUUGACCCUCCUAAAUCAUCUUGACAAGAUAUGAGUCAUAAAACUUUUUACGUUGUUAUAAAAAUUUCAUCAUCGCCCGAAUUUAUUCAUUUUAUUACGUACUGAUAUAUGCAAUAUCCGUCUUUUAUUUGUGAAGGCCUCGAAAAUCGACGGAGAAUUUCUUCAUCGGUCAAAUAAUAAUGUCCAUUCAAAUUAAUAAAUCACUCCAACCAAUAAUAGAACAAAUAAUAUCAAAGACCAGUCCAGAAAUGAUCCCAAAUAGUGACAAAAUCUACCAAGUAGUAGCUAAGCAAAAUCAUCUCCUUCGAGUGAAAAUUUACCCCAGAACUAGAAAACUAGUCAUAGCAUUAGCAGUGAUUCAAAACCAACAAUAGAGACAACUAUAAGUAAUUAGAUUAUUGAAAAUGGGGUUUGAAACACGUAGACAAAUGACCAAAAAAUGGAGCUUGAUAGAAAAAUUAUCAUUCUUAUCCGAAAAAUUCAAAAAUUAGCCAAAUCUAUACUAAACAAUGGAACAAAGAAUAAUAGUGCAAGCAAUCAAUGACAUACAAUGUGACAGUCUUGUCCAUCAACUAUUUUCUCCAGCGUGAUACAGUAAACGAAAAAGGAGGAGGGGUAUUUCUUCCAAGGCUUUCAUCGGAGCAACACUAAAUAUAUAUACUCCAGCCAGAUCUGGCUUGUAAAUGGUGUAAGCCAUCAUUUCGAAUAUAUAAUAGCGAACCACAAGCAAAAGGUAAGAGUAAAGAUGCGGUGAUGAAGCUUCACCAUCGCUCACUGUCCGUUCGGUGGUCAAGUCCAGUGGCGAAAGUGGGACGGAGAAAGUGGGAAGGUGGUGCGAGUUGGAGAGAGGAGAGAGGCGGAAGGGCGUUUAGAGGUGGGUGAUGGUUUGGUGUUUGUCGAAGCUCCGGUGACGGCAACGACAGUGAGGGUCUGAGAGAGAAAAAAGAGCAUGAGAGAGAGAUCUGAUCUGGUUUAUGUGUGCACAUGCGUUGGUGUGUGUAUGUGUUCAUUACACAAUAAAAGGUCCAUUAUUGACCCAAAAAAUAAAAUCAACUAUUUUAACCAUUAAAUAAUAAUAUAUUGAUCAAAGAGUAAAAACUUCAACCGGUCACCUCAAAUGUCAUCUUUUAAAAAGCUGACAUGAUCUUGAUUUGAAUGAUUUGCAGUUUUGAGUCUUAAAAUAAUUGAGUCGAUUUAUAUUUACAGACUGCAUUAAAUAACAUUCAAAAAUAUGAAUGUCAAUGUAUGAUUACAGAAAAAAUAUAAACAACAAAUAAAAAAAUAAUUAUCUUGAAAAAAUAUAUUAUGCUAUAAAUAAUUAAAAUUAUACUACGCGGUAAAAAAAUUGCAGUGCUAUGGUAUGUACGUAUGAAGAGGACUAUGCAAAAAUAUUAAAAUAAUAAUAAACUGAUAAAAAUUCUAACAUUUACGAAAUUAAGAAUAAUUAUCAAUAGGUUAUGCAAAGUUAAAAUAUGACAAAAAUUGAUGAAAAAUUAUAAAAUAAUGGCGAUUAUCAAUAAUUUGUUUGAAAUAAUAAAAAAUGUACGAAAAACUGCGUUUUGUGCACUUUAAUGAUCAAGACGCCUAAAUGUGCUAAUUUUAAGCAUGGAGAGCCGAAAUUGGGUUCAACAGUUUGUGGUUUGAAGACAAUAUAGAAGUCUUCAGAUGAAACCGUUAACGUGUAGCCAAUUUUGCUCUACAAAAAUUUUUUUUGAUAAAAAUUCAAGCAAACUCUGAGUUAGAAUUGUUAUCUCAAGAUGUCCUAUUUUAGGGUGGACGAACCCAAUGUGUACUCUAAUUUUAUGCCUGGAAAAUUUAUGAAAUUUAAAAACAAUACUCAAUAUAGGCAAACGAGUAAAUAAACUUGAUUUUUUUAAUAAUUUUUUAUUCAAAAAAAUGGCAUAUAAUGUUUAACUAAUCUAAAGAUAAAUAAAUUAAAACAAUUCAAGAUUUUAAUUAAAGAAAAGAAAAAUAUUUAAUUGAAGACAGACAUACAUAAAAGGUCUGAUUAGAGGGAAGACUAACCCAAAAUGUUCUAUUUUAGAGUGAAAAAAUCCAAUUCAUGUUUGCAAACAUUUACAAAAAACUAUGGUGGAUUUUUUUUUACUUUUUCAUUUUUCCCUCUUUUUUUUCGAGAAAUUAAGGAUAACAUUCAGUGCUUAAAUAAAUAAGAAACAAAUGGUACAGACAAAAAUAAUAUCCAGUGCUUAAAUGGUAAAACAAGUGGAUUGUGAUAUGUGCAGGUAAAGACAAAGCAUGCAGUACUUAAAUAAUAAAGUAAAUGCAUUGCGAUGUGCAAAUAAAGGCAAAGAUGAAAUGCGGUGCUUAAAUGAUAAAAUAAAUGCAUUGCAAUAUAUAUUGGUAAAGACCAAGAUGACAUGUAGUGCUUAAAUGAUAAAAUAAAUGAAUUGUGAUAUUUACGAGGCCUGCAGUGCCUAAAUAAUAAAAUGAAUGUCUUGCGAUAUUUGUGUACAGUACUUAAAUAAGUAGCAAUAUGCGCCGAUAAAGGCAAAGAUGACAUGCGAUACUUAAAUGAUAAAAUAAAUGCAUUGCGAUGCAUGCAGAUAAAGGCAAAGAUAACAUACGAUGCGUGCAAAUAAAGGCAAGAAUAGCAUGUGGUGCUUAAAUUAUAAAAUAAAUAAAUGGAUUGCGAUAUUUGCGAGGCGUGCAGUUCCUAAAUGAUAAAAUGAAUGCAUUCCGAUAUGUGCGUGCAGUGCUUAAAUAUGUCGAUAAAGGCAAAAAUGAAAUGCGAUAUGGUGAUAUGUGCAAAGAAAGGCCAAGAUGGUAUGCAGUACUUAAAUAACAAACAAAUGCAUUGCGAUACUUGUGAGGCGUGCAUUGCCUAAAUGAUAAAAUAAAUGCAUUGCGAUAUGUGCUAGUAAAGAAAAAAUGACAUGCAGUGCUAAAAUGAUGAAAUAAAUGUAUUGUGAUAUUUGUGAGGCGUGAAGUGCCUAAAUGAUAAAAUGAAUGCAUUGCGAUAUGUGCAUACAGUGCUUAAAUGCAUAGCAAUAUGAGUCAAUAAAGGCAAAGAUGACAUGCGAUGCUGAAAUAAUAAAAUAAAUGCAUUGCGAUGCGUGCAAAUAAAGGCAAAGAUAACAUGCAGUACUUAAAUAAUAAAUUAAAUGCAUUGAGAUACGUGUAGAUAAAGAAAAAGAUAGCAUGAUGGUGCUUAAAUGAUAAAAUGAAUGCAUUUGCAAUAUGUGCAAAUAAAGGCAAAGACAAAAUGCAGUGCCUAAAUCAUAAAAUAAAUGCAGUGUGAUACGUGCAAAUAAAGGCAAAGAUAAAAUGCAGUGCUUAAAUGAUAAAAUAAAUGCAUAUCGGUAUGUGCAAGUAAAGACAAAAAAAUAUAGUGCUUCAAUAAUAAAAUAAAUGCAUUGCGAGAUGUGCAAAUAAAGGCAAAAAAAUAUACAGUGCUUAAAUAACAAAUAAUAAAAUAAAUACAUUAUGAUGCAUGCAAGUAAAGACAAAGAUAGCAUCCAGUGCAAAAAGAAAUAAAUAAAGUUCAAUAUGUGCAAGUAAAGGAAAGUAAGCAUAAAUAUUUAAUUGAAGAAAAACAUGCAUAAUUGUCUUAUUGGAGGGCAGAUUGGCCCAAUUAUCCUAUUUUAGGGUGGACAAACCCAUGUAAAAAAUGAAUAUUGAGCAAAGAAAUAUUUGGGAAUGAAAGUAUUCACAUAUUCUCGAUGCUACUUUCAAAUUGUCCCAGUAUCGAGCUGCGAGAUGCUGGAAGAUGCAAGAUUGUGUACUUGCUGGGGAGAAAAAAUGAUAUGGAGUUGUGACGAUCGAAAUCUGCGUAGAUCUUCCUAUAUAUCUCUAGUGUCAUGAGAAUCAGGUCAAUAUAGUUCGAAAUAAGAAAAAUAGAGUAAAUUUUGAGGCGACUCAAAAUUUGCCCCAAUGUAUGAUUUAUGUUGGCAUUGUCUCCUUUGAAAGGAGCUUUUUCUUUUAAAAAAAUGUCUUGUUAUUAAGAAAAUGCAUGAUGUUUUCGAUUGUUUAUGGGGACUUGAGAAUGAAUGACGUCUUCGAUUACUUACGGAGACUUGAUGCAUGACAUCUCCAAUUACUUAUAGAGGCUGAUGUUUAUUGUCGUCUUUGAUUAUCUGCGAGGACUUAAGAAUGAAUGACGUCUCUGAUUUCUUAUAGAUACUUGAUGCAUGACAUCUCCAAUUGCUUAUGGAGGCUGAUGUUUAUUGUCGUCUUUGAUUUUCUAUGAAAACAGAGACCCUUUUGACUGGUAAGACUAUAAAAAAUAUAAAAUACUCAAGAUGAGUACCUGAAAAAAAGAAUAAAAUAUCGGUAUUAAAGGUAUGUGCUUGAAAGAGAAAGUCAAAUGCCCUUAUUUUAAAAUUAGGCUCCUUGAAUGAAAAGUAAAAAAUGCAUGUAUGUAAAGUGAGCAUCUUGAAUGAAAGGUAUAAAAAUGCCCAUAUGUGAAAGUAGACGUCUUAAAAAAAAGAAUUUUUUUGUAUUUUCUUGAUUAAAAGUGCUGAAAAUGAAGAAGACAUGACCGUGUAUUGACUUUAGUUGGUACCAAUAAUUAGUAGCGUGCAUAAGAAUUCCCCCAUCUCCUUCCCAGCUAACUGAGAUCGACUUUAGGGUAACUCCUAUAGUUUCAAAUGGUACCUCAGACAUUCCUAAGUAUCGACAAGAUUUGUUCGUCUUACUUCAAACAAAGAUUUGAGCUAUGCUUAUUCUCAUGUUUCAAGUGUCCUCUCCAGAAAGAAAGUCUCAUUUCGUACAUAUUUAGGUAAAAGAAAGUCCGAUUUCACACAUAUUUGAGUAAUUUUUCUUUUUGAAUUUGGGAACAUCUAGAGAAAUACGCUCACACUCAAAAGAAAUACAAUGCAUGCAAUUGUGAUACCAUAGGAUUGACCUUCAUGUAAGUAUGCAAUAAUAUGAGAACACUUGAAAUAGAAUCUCGUAGGACUUGCUAUCGGCUUUUGAUAUAGGCUUAGGGAUGGGUAGGAUGAUAUUUAAGAUAAAAGUGACUAAUUCCUCAAUGAGCAUUGCACUGUAUUUUGUGCUUUCAAUAUUUUUUGUGUUUUGAUGUGUGAUCUACUUUGUUGUGAUGAGUUGUCCCUCAUUUUGUAUUUGCUUCGACUUUUUUUGAACCUUGUGUUGGAAUUUUUACCCCCUUUUUUUCAACAAACUAUAUUUUGUUUGUUCUCUUUUUUUCUUUUCUCAUUUUUUGUGGGGGUUUUCUCCUUUGAAGUCGUUUUUUAAUUUUAUUUAUUUGGGACAAUAUAUCCUUUGCAUUUUGCGCCUUUAAUCUUAAAUCUUCAUCCGUAAAUUGCACAUAUUUAAUGCACUCAAGGAGGUAGGGCCAAGAAAGGAAUAGUGUAUGUAGCACUCAAAAAGGUAUAGGCACAAAUGUGGUUGUCCAAAGAAAAAGUAUUAGGCUCAAAAGGGGGAAUGCUAGGGAUCAAUGUCAUUUGGUAGGUUGUAAAAGGCUCAAUCGGUCCAAAUAAGGCCUACAAUCCUUUCCUAAAUCAAGUACAACUCAGAAUUUUGCCUCAACAAACAUUAAGGCUAAGUUCUAGAUCAACAAUGUAAUGCAAUGAAUUAAACUAAAGCUAACCACACAAUGCACAUGAAAUGAUAAGGUUGGGUUCGUUCUUGUUUUAAAUGUAUGCAAGACAAUUUUCAGGUAUUACUCAGGUGUGAUAAAAGGUACCAAGAGAAUCUAUGGUUUACCAUGAAAUCGGUCCUUUACAUCAUACCAGUUUGUUUUUUCUCAUGCACACUCCUAAUUGUAUUGGUACUAUCAAGACAAUUUUAUUUUUUAUUUUAAAAAAGAAUGGGACCAAACCCAAACGAGGGUUGCCUACAUAUCUUGUAAGAACAAGAAUCAAGUCUGCGUAGUUCAGGCAAAUCUGUAAAUUCGUAUGUGUAAUGUAUGAUGAAAAAAUAAUGGUCAUCAUUGAAAAUAAUAUGAAAGAUGAUUAAAAAAGAACUGCUUUUAACAUCAAAAUUGUUUUAAUCAAAUGACCAAGAGAAUAGAUUUCAAGUAUGGGGAAAGCUUUGACACAACUUCAGUAUGCUGACAAGAUUGGAAAAGUUAUACAUUGAAGAAAUUAUGAUAUUAUUUCGCUGCAGUUGGCAGGAUUAUUAUAACUGAAGAAAAUAUUGAAUCCUUGCUUUUGAAAAUAAGGAUUGAUACACCAUAAAUUUAAUGGUUUAUGGUGUUUGAAAGAAGAAGCUAGGUAUCCUCGAAUCAAAAUUAGGUGAGGAUUCAGAGGUAGGCCGACUAAGCACUAAUGUCAUUGAGAUUUGAAUCUUGAGAAGCUAUUGAUUUGCGCUCUUGAAGAUAUUUUGGAGAGCGCCUUUGAACUGUUCUAGAAAAAUGCCCUAGUUUGAAUAUUGGAGAAAUUAUUCUAAAACAGUGAAGAGACCGAACCCUAAUACAGGAUUGCCUACGUAUCUUGUCAGGACAAAAAUCAGGUCAAAACAUAGUUCAAAACUAUGUGUAGCUAGAGACGAUGUUGCUAAGGUGUUUAUUUUAACUGAUCAACCAUGCAAAUCAAAGACUAGGUUACACACCUUCCUACAAUAAUAAUAAUAAUUUAGAAAAAAUAAAUAUAUACAGACACAAUAAUCCUUCAAAUAUGUACAAAGACUAUAAUAAUGUGUCACGUGGGUUGUGAAUCCUUUGAACAUAAAGUAGACUAAUGAUGCAUGCGCCUAAAAAGGUGUUGAUUUAGCUCUAUCCUAUGUUCGACUAAGAGUGGGUUUGCUAGACCUAUGGUUCUCGAGUGAACUACUUGAGUGAGAAGGCUAUGCGGUCACACAGAAAAAUAUCCGAACACCCCGCACAUACACCAACUCUCCUAAAAUUUAGAAUUUUGAAAGAAAUUUGUGGGUGCGCAAAACACACCUCACUUGUAUGUGUUAUUGUGUCAGCUUUCCCAAAUGGAAGAAAUAUGAACGGGAUGACAGUUUAUAUAAAAUAAUAAAUAAAUAAAUAAGCUAUACAAAAUAAAUAACAAUUUAUGCCACACAAACAAGAUAAAUCAAGACAAUUAGAAAUAAAUAAAUAAUAAUGUAGAAAAAUAUAAAUAUUUACCUAAAUCUGUAAUGGUUAGAACCUUACAUCCCCAGCAGAAUCGCCAAACUGUCAUACCCUAUUUUUACCUAAGGUUAAAACAAGCACGGCAUUAUGAACUCAAAAAGAAUUAAUUUUUAUAUAGAGUCGCCACCUUAUUUUUAAGAAAAAAUAGGAAACCUACUUAUUUAUUAACAAGUAUGAUUUUUAUUUCAAUCUGUGAACCAAUUUAAAUUCUAGGUAAGGGUUCAAAUUAUUCCGAAGGGAAUGGAUUAGGCACCCUUCAGAAUCCACAAUGUUGUUCCGGCCAGACUUAGGUUUAUUAAAAGAAAAAAGAGAAAAAAAAAUUCAAUGACUGUAAAGACAGAUAUAAAAUAGGUAUUGAAAUAAUAUAAUGCGUAUGCUAUCGUAAAAAAUAUAUAUAAAUAAAAGUAUACAAAUAUAUGUAUGUAAAGACAAGAUUGAAUAAAGAAAAAAUAUUUUAAGAAAAAGACUACGUAAUAUUUAUUAAUAUAAAAAGAAGUGUGAAUUAGCUAAUUAAAUCUCUAAAUCGAUUUUAAUAUAAAUAUUAAUGGCCUAAAUUUGCCUAACGCGUGAUCAGAAUCGCGUAAAAUAAAGAAUAUCCCGUCCAACACCCCAAAAGUAAAGUUUUCACUAUGGUUAAUAUUUGUACAAGUAUAAAAAAUAUAAAAAUACAAUACAAUUUAAAGACUUCUUUAAAUGUCUUUCCCGAUGAAUAUUCCAAACACCUGUAUAAACACUCGUAACAAAAAUAUCAGUAACAAAUAAAUAAUUAUUAAAAUAAAUUUAAAAGGAUAAAUAAUUAUCAAAAUAAAUUUAAAAGGUAUGUGUGCAUAUAGGUAUUUAAAAAUAUAAUUUUUGCUAAAAGUGGGCUCGGAUUAAAUUUUAAAUACAUUAUGACUACGAAGUGGUUGCUUAAUUUAUUGGCCGCGCUAAAUCAUCUUACCAAGAUAUGAAUCAUAAAAUUUUUUGUGUUGUUAUAAAAAAAUUUUCAUCACCAGAAUUUAUUUAUUUUAUUACAUACUUAUAUGUGUAAUAUCCAUCUUUUAUUUGUGAAGGCCUCGAAAGUCGACGGAGAAUUUCUUCAUCGGCCAAAUAAUAAUGUCCAUUCAAAUUAAUAAAUUAUACACUCCAGCCAAUAAUGAAAUAAAUAAUAUCAAAGACCAGUCCAGAAAUGAUCUCAAAUAGUGACAAAAUCAGCCAAGUAGUAGCUAAGCAAAACCAUCUCCUUCGAAUGAAAAUUGACCCCAGAACUAGCAAACUAGACAUAGCAUUAGCAAUGAAAUAGAUCUAGAAAAAUAACCCGGAGGUUGGUGGUAGUUUGGUGUUCGCCGGAGCUCCGAUAACGGUAGCAUCAUUGAGGGUUUAAGAGAGAAAAAGAGCGUGAGAGAGAGAUCUGAUCUGAUUUUUGUGUGCACAUGCAUUGGUGUGUGUAUGUGUUCAUUAUAUAAUAAAAGGUCCAUUAUUGACCCAAAAAAU
rnacentral:lncRNA from 1 species